GACGUAGGGGGCCAGCGUUGUUCGGAAUUACUGGGUGUAAAGGGUUCGUAGGCGGUGCGGCAAGUUGGGAGUGAAAUCUCUGGGCUUAACCCAGAGGCUGCUUCCAAAACUGCUGUGCUUGAGUGUGGGAGAGGCGCGUGGAAUUGCAGGUGUAGCGGUGAAAUGCGUAGAUAUCGGAAGGAACAUCAGUGGCGAAAGCGGCUUCCUGGACCAGUACCGACGUUCAGGCACGAAAGCGUGGGGAGCAAACAGG
rnacentral:rRNA from 1 species